rnacentral:tRNA from 1 species
CUCCCUGUGGCUCAGUUGGUAGAGCAUGGUGUUUGCAACGCCAGGGUUGUGGGUUCGAUUCCCACAGGGGGC